UACCGGUCAAGGCCCUGGCUGGACCGGUUCCCUGGCUUGGAGAACCGGGACUGCCGGUUGCCCUGAAGGGGCGGCUCCCUCCCCGAGCGGUUCGCUCUGCGGCGUCCGCCCCGGCUCGGAUCGGCCGGCGUGACUUCCCGAUGAUUCGAUCUUUUCUCUCCCACCCCUCUCCGGUUUUAUCACCCGCUCCGUGGCGAAUCGAGAACCCUCUCCUCGUGGGAUCGAAUUCUCUCCCACCCCUCUCUGGUUUCUCCCUGUCGUCUCCUCCCUGCUCCUGUUGGUACGGAGAGAUUGAUGAUUCGAGAGCGGUUCAAAGAACCGAUCGGCGGGGCAACUCCAGGUGUUGAUUCGUUCCUUCGAGUCUUGUGGCGGAUUGCUUCGAAAACCGGAUCUGUUUGGGUUAGGGCUAAAGAAAUUGAACUAGGGUUUUUAGUCGAUCUCGUUCUUCUGUCUUUGGAGUCGGAUUUAGGGUAGAAAGAGUGUUGGAAGAACGACAAAACACGGAGGUCUCUGAUUCUUCGGUGUUUGCUUAAGAAGAUGGAGGAAGGGUUUAAGAAUUGGGGGACAAAGACAUGAUUGACGAUUUAUGCUUGCAAUUUUUUUUGCUUUUGAGAUGAUCCAAGUGCUCGAUUAAAUAUAACUAUUUUGAGAUGACUGGGUUGUCUAGUGUUCCUAUUUCCGACAUAGAUUGGUACGUUAUCCAGAUCCUGAAAUCAGUCCCUGCUUCCACAAAAAGAAUUGGUGUUCAAGCUUGUUAUAUAUUCAGGUACGUUUCGAAUUAGAUUGGUUGCUUUUAAUAGACUGAUGAUUGUGAUUGGUGAAACAAUGGGGUGAACAUUCCUUAUUUUUCCUCCUUUACAUACAAUUCUUAAAUUGUACAUUACAAAUCCUGUGUUCUGCUAUUGAAGGACUUAAGUUGGGAUCUUUGGUUUGAUUUUGUUGAGGUAUCAAUAUUUCUCUUGUAUAUGUAUAUGUACACCCAUCUUUGUUAAUCUUUAUAGCUUCUUGAGUUAGUCAUUUUGAAAUUUGACUUCUCUAGCUUGCAGGGUAUUUGAGCAUUAUUGACAUCAUUGUUCUUCUUUCAUCUUGAAGAGAAGGUGUGUUUUCUUCAUCCAGCUUAUAGCUGGUUUAGUUUUUUAUAUUGCUUGAACUAUUGUUGGUCAUUCCUGCUGGAAUUGGUAGCAAAACGUGUAGGAUCAGUUUUUCAGGCUUUUAGAUGAUGAUGAUACUCUGAUAGUACAAAGAAAAAUGAUCAAGUUUCUCUUUUAUGUCAUGUUUAUGUUCUUACAUUUUAUUACUCUAUGCAUUGGGUCUUGAAGAUUGCGUUUUUUAAGGUUAAUGUCCUAUCUUGUUCUUGUGGAGCAACUUGCCUUUGUUCCUCUUUGUUCAGUUUCAUCCUUAUAAUCUGUAUUAAGUUUGUGGGUAGCUCCGGGUUACAUUGUGGAAACAAAAGACGUUCUUUUGCUACAAACAUUGUCUUAGCUCAGGGUUACAUGGUGGUCGGUAACUUGUUGACAUAAAUUGUCCUAGCUGGCACUCUUUCGAGUGAGGUUUCUGCUGACCGAAACAAACACUAUGCUUCCUAGGUGUAUAAGCAAAUCCUUUGGACAGUGUGAAGUUCCAUACUGGUGUUGUUCUGUAAUGGUACAUGUUGGCAGGCAUCUGCAACGCUUUUCUAUUGUUUUUUCCUAAACUUCUUUCCUCCAACAAAAUAUGUGGUUUCUUCUGAUUUGGUAACGCUAAUAAUAUUUGUUGAAUUGUCAUCUAGUGCUCGGAUCCACAAUGUGGCUAGUUAUGAGCCUAAGUUACUGGUUGACAAAAACGUAGACAAAUAUAGUGCCUUUCUAGCAAACAUGAAGUGCUAUACAAGUGUUUUAUCAAAUGAACAAUUUAGAAUGUAGAACAACAAUAAUAGCAAAGCCAUAAGCUCUAACUAUUUGAGGUUGGCUACAUGGAUCAUUUGACACCAUUGAGACUUGUAAAAAGCUAUAUGUUAAGUUUAGAGUCUUUAGAACGCGAUUUAUAGUUUAUAUUAAAGUUUUUCUAGGUCCUCUUCUAUUUUUUUUUAUACCACUAAUAUUAAUUAUUUCAUUUCUUCUGACCAUUACAUUCAGAGGUCUUCUAGGCACAUGCACAUAUCAUCUUAAACUAUUUUCUCUCAAAUUAUCCUCUAUCGAAGUGAUAUCUAGUUGUUUACAAAUGCAAAUAUUUUUUUUCUCAUCUUUCCUAGUAACUCCACAUAUUCAUCUCAACAUCACAAACAUUUUGCAUAUAUUGUUUUUUAACUGUCCAACACUCAUAUCCAUAAAGUUUAGAACGUAGAAAAGACACAUAAAUUGAUACUAUUGAUAACUAAUAUGCAAUACAUUGUAUCUAGUGGUUUUAAAAAAAAAGAAGCUUAAAGUGGGUAUAUUGUGAUGGACUUGUGAUUUGGUAUUCGCUUAUUACUGAACUGAUUUGUCCAGUGCUCUCAUUGACUUAUUGUGAACUCUACCACUGUCAAUUUUUAUCAGAAUCAUGAGAAUCAAGUUGGACUUCAUAUGGCACGUUUAGAUGAGGGUAAUUGAUUGUGUCAAGAAUUUAGGGUAAUAUUCCAAUUAGGAGCCACAGAAUAAUGCAGUUAUGUAAAUUUGCCCCUUUUUUGUUUAUUAAACUGGCUUCCAAUCUUUUUAGAACAAUUUUCCUGCCUUUUCUUCUUAGAGCAAUUUUCCUGCCUUUUAUAGUCUGAAUAAUAGGCUCUAUUCUAUUCUGAAAUAGAACCUUUAGAGAGAGAGAGAGAGAGAGAGAGAGUUGGAAGUCAGUGAUCUUGAUGUUAGAGAUUCUAAGAGCUGAUAGUUCUUUUAUAUAAUCAUGAACUUUCAAUUCACCUGUUAGCCGGCCCAUCACUGACAUCAAGGUACCAGCAGUUCCCUUGAGGAUAGUGAGGGUGUUAUCCAAAAUUCCAAACCAUUCGUGGUGCAGUGUGUAUGGUAUUGCCUUGUGCCUUGUUAACCGAAGCAUAAAGAAUCACAAGUGGAUGGAUAAGAACCAACAAAGACGUGGUCAAGGUUGCAUUAUAAUUUCUCAAUUCACUCAUCAUUCUUCUUUUUGCUUUUGCAUAGUAAUUUCUUAUAUCUUCUUGUUUGACUUGCAACUCUCUUUGAGGUGGAGUGAACUAGUUGUUAUCAGAACCAAUCAUCCUGAAAUGAUGCACUUGAUUACAUCUUCAUCAAAAAUAAGUAAACCACGGUAGCUGAUGGUGAUGCUGGAUAGUUUGAUACUGUUAACCGUGGAAGCUGCAUCAUAACUUUCAUUUGCUGGGCUGGGGCUGCACUUAUAUCUCUGAGGAAGAUUGAUCAAUUCCUUAAAUGUGCUGACGAGGCUGGAAAGCUUGAGCAAGUGAUUGAUGUAUGCACACUUACAUGUUGGUUUUGUUUUCAUAAUUGGAAAAUGCAAUUUACUUUAAUGUGCAGAAAAGCAAGACUGGAAAUCGUGUGCACCAAUUGCCUGCUUCCCAUCAUCUGGGCAUUUCGCAACACAAUUUCUCUUAUGGAUUUUGCAGUUGCGAACCCAAAUCACCAUUAGCCAGGAAAACUACUGCAUCCAAGGUAUGGUGAGCAAACCUAUCUGAAUCUUAGUGUUGCUUCAUCAUAUUUCGUCACACAUGCAGGCAAGUGUGGUUAGAGCCAACACAAUACGAAGGGAAAGUAUACAUACAGUGGGGACGGAGGUUGGAGGUAGUUGUACUUUUUAAGAAAUAAAAAAAGAAAAGGGGGAAUGCUCAGAAAAUAUGAAAAUAAGGACAAAUUGCCCUUUGUAUUUUCAUCGAUCAUGGUAGAAUUAUAAUGUUAUGCGUAGUUGACGUACU